CCAGCAGCAGCAACUCGCUCAGGUCCCCUUCCACACUGUGGAAGCUUUGUUCUUUUGCUCUUCACAAUAAAUCUUACUGCUGCUCACUCUUUGGGUCCACACUACCUUUAUGAGCUGUUAACACUCACUGCAGAAGUCUGCAGCUUCACUCCUGAAGUCAGUGAGACCACAAACGCACCCGGAGGAACAAACAACUCCAGACACACCACCUUUAAGAACUGUAACACUCACUGCGAAGGUCUGCGGCUUCACUGCUGAAGUCAGUGAGACCACGAACCCACUGGAAGGAAGAAACUCCAGACACAUCUGAACAUCUGAAGGAACAAACUCCAGACACAACAUCUUUAAGAACUGUGACACUCACCGCGAGGGUCCGCGGCUUCUUUCUUGAAGUCAGAGAGACCAAGAACCCACCAGAAGGAAUAAAUUCCAGACACAUUUGGCGACACAGAUGGGACUAUCACCAAGUGACUAGGUGGCUGGCAUGAUCCAUGGAGAGGAAGAAAGAGCAGCGUGGUCCAGUGGCCCACCUGAGAAAGCUACACAGGGAAGCGGAGCCCCCACCCCACAGCCAAGAGCUGCGUUACUGCAAAAAUCAAGAUGUAUCUUCAAAUGGGAUUUGCCUGCAUAUAUUUAUUGAUCAAACUGAGAGCUUCUAUUCAGUUGCUCCUACAGCAGGGAGAAGUGAGUUACAGAGACUACCUGACUUUGACUAUGUGGACUUCAGAAGUUAAUCUCUGCUGGCAUCUUUUCCAAAAAAAGAUUACCACCAUCAAUUCCAAUGUGAUAUAUAUUUGUAUAAAGAAGAUAGUUCCAACUGCAAGGAAGAACACCAAAACACUGAGUAUGGAGAAGAGUGGGAGAAUCAUUGUCCCCUGUUCAGAGCAUGAAAGACUGCCCACGGUCUGACAGGAGACCGUGUUGUUCUUCAAACGUAAUUAAAGAUUCUUUGAAUAUGUUUUCUCCUGCUCAAGUAAUAACUUGUGAUUUUAGUGCUGAAUUGCCUUAAGGAAUAUAUUGUUUCCAAACUUUCCAAAUUCAUGAAUGUUAAUUAAACUAACACUCUAAGGCCAUUUUAAAUCAAGCCUCUCUUGAAAUAAGAUUAAAGUCUUAGAUAUUUCAGUAGUUAUAUAAAUCAGGGUAUAUUUAAAAUUUUAUUUGAUCAUCUGAAAUUUAAUAAAAAUAAAUGUUUUGUGAGAUAGUUGAUGAAUGGGGAGAAAUCUGACCAUUCAAGUCAGCUACAAAAUAUCUUCAUAUUCUUUCAGAUGAAAAAAGAAGUCCCAGAAGCCUAAUUAUUGACAUGAUAUCAAUUCAUUAAGGUAUAUAUUGACAGGUCUUCUCUAGAGAAAAAGACUUAGCAGGAUUGAUGAAGCAUGUUGACACUGAAGAGAGAGAUUUGGAAAUAAAUAAAUCCACUGUGCUUUAUACAAAAGCUCUUUGCUCAUCUAUUUUUAGCAGAAAUCUUGGGAAGGUAUUGUGUGUCUGUGUGCGUGCAUGUACAUGCAUGUGUGCAUGCAAUUAUCAAAAGACUAUUCUUGGAAUCUUUUGUCCAAGAUAGACUGACUAAAUAAUCAUUCAUUCUACCACUCUGAACUAUUUACAUGACUGUUUUUCGUAAACCCAAAGUAAAAUAAUACAGUGAUAUGACAUUCCAUGGGAGGCAAAGUAGGCCAUUAACUGCUGCUCUGGCAAUUUCUGUUUAACAAGCUCCAUUCGCAUUAUGUUUCUUAUUUCUCUCUAAUGAAUAAAACAAACCACAACAUUUCUUUCUACUUGUACUAAUUUCAACAGAGUGUACAAAGUCCAUACACAGUUCCAUGAAUACGUGAAAUUAGCAAAAUUUGGGGCUUACUUAGUAUUAGCCAGAAGGGGAA
rnacentral:lncRNA from 10 species